AGAGUUUGAUCCUGGCUCAGGAUGAACGCUAGCGACAGGCUUAACACAUGCAAGUCGAGGGGCAGCACAGGUAGCAAUACCGGGUGGCGACCGGCGCACGGGUGAGUAACGCGUAUGCAACUUGCCUAUCAGAGGGGGAUAACCCGGCGAAAGUCGGACUAAUACCGCAUGAAGCAGGGAUCCCGCAUGGGAAUAUUUGCUAAAGAUUCAUCGCUGAUAGAUAGGCAUGCGUUCCAUUAGGCAGUUGGCGGGGUAACGGCCCACCAAACCGACGAUGGAUAGGGGUUCUGAGAGGAAGGUCCCCCACAUUGGUACUGAGACACGGACCAAACUCCUACGGGAGGCAGCAGUGAGGAAUAUUGGUCAAUGGGCGUAAGCCUGAACCAGCCAAGUCGCGUGAGGGAUGAAGGUUCUAUGGAUCGUAAACCUCUUUUAUAAGGGAAUAAAGUGCGGGACGUGUCCCGUUUUGUAUGUACCUUAUGAAUAAGGAUCGGCUAACUCCGUGCCAGCAGCCGCGGUAAUACGGAGGAUCCGAGCGUUAUCCGGAUUUAUUGGGUUUAAAGGGUGCGUAGGCGGCCUUUUAAGUCAGCGGUGAAAGUCUGUGGCUCAACCAUAGAAUUGCCGUUGAAACUGGGGGGCUUGAGUAUGUUUGAGGCAGGCGGAAUGCGUGGCGUAGCGGUGAAAUGCUUAGAUAUCACGCAGAACCCCGAUUGCGAAGGCAGCCUGCCAAGCCAUGACUGACGCUGAUGCACGAAAGCGUGGGGAUCAAACAGGAUUAGAUACCCUGGUAGUCCACGCAGUAAACGAUGAUCACUAGCUGUUUGCGAUACACUGUAAGCGGCACAGCGAAAGCGUUAAGUGAUCCACCUGGGGAGUACGCCGGCAACGGUGAAACUCAAAGGAAUUGACGGGGGCCCGCACAAGCGGAGGAACAUGUGGUUUAAUUCGAUGAUACGCGAGGAACCUUACCCGGGUUUGAACGCAUUCGGACCGAGGUGGAAACACCUUUUCUAGCAAUAGCCGUUUGCGAGGUGCUGCAUGGUUGUCGUCAGCUCGUGCCGUGAGGUGUCGGCUUAAGUGCCAUAACGAGCGCAACCCUUGCCACUAGUUACUAACAGGUAAAGCUGAGGACUCUGGUGGGACUGCCAGCGUAAGCUGCGAGGAAGGCGGGGAUGACGUCAAAUCAGCACGGCCCUUACAUCCGGGGCGACACACGUGUUACAAUGGCGUGGACAAAGGGAAGCCACCUGGCGACAGGGAGCGAAUCCCCAAACCACGUCUCAGUUCGGAUCGGAGUCUGCAACCCGACUCCGUGAAGCUGGAUUCGCUAGUAAUCGCGCAUCAGCCAUGGCGCGGUGAAUACGUUCCCGGGCCUUGUACACACCGCCCGUCAAGCCAUGGGAGCCGGGGGUACCUGAAGUCCGUAACCGCGAGGAUCGGCCUAGGGUAAAACUGGUGACUGGGGCUAAGUCGUAACAAGGUAGCC
rnacentral:rRNA from 1 species